rnacentral:rRNA from 1 species
GACGAACGCUGGCGGCGUGCUUAACACAUGCAAGUCGAACGGAAAGGCCCUGCUUUUGUGGGUUGCUCGAGUGGCGAACGGGUGAGUAACACGUGAGUAACCUGCCCUUGUCUUUGGGAUAACUCCAGGAAACAGGGGCUCAUACAGGGUAGGAGCUCCUGCUGCAUGGUGGUGGUUGGUAAGUUUCGGCGGUUGGGGAUGGACUCGCGGCUUAUCAGCUUGUUGGUGGGGUAGUGGCUUACCAAGGCUUUGACGGGUAGCCGGCCUGGGAGGGGGGCCGGCGACAAUGGUACUAAGGGACGGCCCAGACGCCAACUGGAGGCAGCGGGGGGGAGUAUGGCACAAUGGGCGGGAGCCUGAUGCGGCAACGCCGCGUGCGGGAUGACGGCCUUCGAGUGGUAAACCGCUGUCGCCUGUGACGAGGCGUGAGUGACGGUAAUGGGUAAAGAAGCACCGGCUAACUACGUG